rnacentral:rRNA from 1 species
AUUGAACGCUGGCGGAAUGCUUUACACAUGCAAGUCGAACGGUAGAGGGGGCAACCCCUCGAGAGUGGCGAACGGGUGAGUAAUAUAUCGGAACGUGCCCAGUCGUGGGGGAUAACGUAGCGAAAGUUACGCUAAUACCGCACACGAUCUAAGGAUGAAAGCGGGGGAUCGCAAGACCUCGCGCGAUUGGAGCGGCCGAUAUCAGAUUAGGUAGUUGGUGGGGUAAAGGCUCACCAAGCCAACGAUCUGUAGCUGGUCUGAGAGGACGACCAGCCACACUGGAACUGAGACACGGUCCAGACUCCUACGGGAGGCAGCAGUGGGGAAUUUUGGACAAUGGACGCAAGUCUGAUCCAGCCAUUCCGCGUGCAGGAUGAAGGCCCUCGGGUUGUAAACUGCUUUUGUACGGAACGAAAAGGUCUCUCUUAAUACGGGGGACUCAUGACGGUACCGUAAGAAUAAGCACCGGCUAACUCCGUGCCAGCCGCCGCGGUAAGAC